rnacentral:rRNA from 1 species
AGAGUUUGAUCCUGGCUCAGAUUGAACGCUGGCGGCAUGCCUUACACAUGCAAGUCGAACGGCAGCAUGAUCUAGCUUGCUAGAUUGAUGGCGAGUGGCGAACGGGUGAGUAAUACAUCGGAACGUGCCCUGUAGUGGGGGAUAACUAGUCGAAAGAUUAGCUAAUACCGCAUACGACCUGAGGGUGAAAGUGGGGGACCGCAAGGCCUCAUGCUAUAGGAGCGGCCGAUGUCUGAUUAGCUAGUUGGUGAGGUAAAGGCUCACCAAGGCGACGAUCAGUAGCUGGUCUGAGAGGACGAUCAGCCACACUGGGACUGAGACACGGCCCAGACUCCUACGGGGGGCAGCAGUGGGGAAUUUUGGACAAUGGGCGAAAGCCUGAUCCAGCAAUGCCGCGUGUGUGAAGAAGGCCUUCGGGUUGUAAAGCACUUUUGUCCGGAAAGAAAUGGCUCUGGUUAAUACCUGGGGUCGAUGACGGUACCGGAAGAAUAAGGACCGGCUAACUACGUGCCAGCAGCCGCGGUAAUACGUAGGGUCCAAGCGUUAAUCGGAAUUACUGGGCGUAAAGCGUGCGCAGGCGGUUGUGCAAGACCGAUGUGAAAUCCCCGAGCUUAACUUGGGAAUUGCAUUGGUGACUGCACGGCUAGAGUGUGUCAGAGGGGGGUAGAAUUCCACGUGUAGCAGUGAAAUGCGUAGAGAUGUGGAGGAAUACCGAUGGCGAAGGCAGCCCCCUGGGAUAACACUGACGCUCAUGCACGAAAGCGUGGGGAGCAAACAGGAUUAGAUACCCUGGUAGUCCACGCCCUAAACGAUGUCAACUAGUUGUUGGGGAUUCAUUUCCUUAGUAACGUAGCUAACGCGUGAAGUUGACCGCCUGGGGAGUACGGUCGCAAGAUUAAAACUCAAAGGAAUUGACGG